CGAGGAGGUAGGGCUUACGCUUGCGUUUGUCUGUUAUAUCUUGGUGGACGAGUUGUCGCGGUUGGGACUGAGGUGCCUACAACGUGCUUUUGAGUGAGUUUGUGUCUCCGUGUGCGCCGUGUGCGGAUAGCUUGCUAUGUAUGUGCGGUUGUGUGUGGAUUGAUGCGGGCUUUAACUUGUCGCCGUUCGGGACGUUGACGAAAUGGAGCGAUCCGACCCGUCUUGAAACACGGACCAAGGAGUCUAACAUGUGUGCAAGUGUUAGGGUGUGGAAACCCCAGCGCGAAAUGAAAGUGAAGGGCAGCGCAAGUUGUCUGAGGUAGGAAACGUUGUGGACUUCGGUCUGCGGCGUGGCACUAUCGACCGAUCAUGAACCUUCGUGGUGAAAGAUUUGAGUUUGAGCACAUAUGUUGGUACCCGAAAGAUGGUGAACUAUGCCUGAGUAGGGUGAAGCCAGGGGAAACUCUGGUGGAAGCUCGUAGCGAUUCUGACGUGCAAAUCGAUCGUCAAACUUGGGUAUAGGGGCGAAAGACUAAUCGAACCAUCUAGUAGCUGGUUCCCUCCGAAAUUUCCCUCAGGAUAGCAGCAACUUAUUUACGAUAGUUUUAUGAGGUAAAGCGAAUGAUUAGAGGAUUCGGGGAAGAAACUUCCUCGACCUAUUCUCAAACUUUAAAUCUGUAAGACCUGCAGGUUUCUUAAU
rnacentral:rRNA from 1 species